rnacentral:misc_RNA from 1 species
GAUGAAGAACGCAGCGAAAUGCGAUACGUAAUGUGAAUUGCAGAAUUCAGUGAAUCUUCGAGUCUUUGAACGCACAUUGCGCCCCCUGGUAUUCCGGGGGGCAUGCCUGUCCGAGCGUCAUUGCUGCCCUCAAGCACGGCUUGUGUGUUGGGCCUCCGUCCUCCUCCCGGGGGACGGGCCCGAAAGGCAGCGGCGGCACCGCGUCCGGUCCUCGAGCGUAUGGGGCUUCGUCACCCGCUCUUGUAGGCCCGGCCGGCGCUUGCCGACACAUCAAUCUUUUUUCCAGGUUGACCUCGGAUCAGGUAGGGAUACCCGCUGAACUUAAGCAUAUCAAUAAGCGGAGGA